AUGAAAGCAUGCCACACUCAAGAACACCACGAAACUUUGUGGAACCAACGCUUUUUGCAAAAAACCCAAUGCAAAAAACCGUAUACAAAUAAGGGGGGACACAUGUUUGGCCAAGAUUCUAUCUUUUAUAGGAUCACCUUUCUCUAUACGUUAUCUCUUUUUUUUUUUUUCCUAAGGGAAUUUAGUAGACCUUUAAAACUCACCUACUUUCUUCGUGGGCUUUUCCACUUCCAUAGGAGACAUUUUUACUUAAUAAAGCGGGGGAAAUGUUGUGACCGUACACCACACAUCAAAACAGAACAAGCGUUGUGCAAUCAGCUAAGACCAGCACAUGCUGUGUGGUCCACACACAACUUGAGUGAUUUUGCUGCAGACUCGCUCAUUUUUUUGUUUUGUUUUUUGAUAGCCAGUAUUGUAUACCAUUUUUUUUGCAAAAUUGUUAUAGCACAUAUUCAGGUAGUGGGCGUUAAGGUGGGGCAGACACUUGUGUUCUUCUCCCACAACAGAUUUUUGAGUUCAAAUGGUGGGACCCUCCCUAGGACGAAGGUUCAAGUCUCAGAGAGGUGGCCACCACACCCCACCACCACAAAGUGCAAGUGGAGGACUUGACCCAAGAGCUCUCGGUCCUGGGUUUCGUGCCUUUACAAGAUCUCCACAGCUAAAGUGACACCAGCCUAGAAAAGCAUGUGAAAUCAGAAAUACAGCACACAUGACUUUCAGUCCCUUCCAGCCACUCAGAUUCAUUUUGGGGGGCGAAAGCACUCCUGUUGUAAGAACCACCAUACCUACCAUUUGUUAAAGCAGUUAUCUGUGUAGUUGAUUAUUUUUUGUUGAUUCUCUUAGCUUCCAUUUUAGAGGCUGAUAUUUUCUGACCUCAUUCCUGAACUGAGGGGAAAUAGCGACAUCUGUGCCUCUACUGUCCUAAGUUCUCCUGUAAGGAGAUGCCGUUCCAGAAAGUAAUUCAUUCAUAACAUUAUGCUUGGCAGGGAUUAAACCAAUGUGAAUGGGGCAUGGAUUUAGGCAGGUUUACCAGGGUGGAGUUGGUUAGAUUUCUCUUCCUUUUUGAACAUAGUGUGCAAGUCUGAAAAGUCACUGUUACUUGUGGAAUAAAAUUUUGUCUUUUUUUCCCCCUUAUCA
rnacentral:lncRNA from 1 species